rnacentral:rRNA from 1 species
GACGAACGCUGGCGGCGUGCUUAACACAUGCAAGUCGAACGGAAAGGCCCUGCUUGCAGGGUACUCGAGUGGCGAACGGGUGAGUAACACGUGGGUGAUCUGCCCUGCACUUCGGGAUAAGCCUGGUAAACUGGGUCUAAUACCGGCUAGGAGCCAUUUUUAGUGUGAUGGUUGGAAAGUUUUUUCGGUGUAGGAUGAGCUCGCGGCCUAUCAGCUUGUUGGUGGGGUAAUGGCCUACCAAGGCGGCGGCGGGUAGCCGGCCUGAGAGGGUGGACGGCCACACUGGGACUGAGAGACGGCCCAGACUCCGACGGGAGGCAGCAGGGGGGAAGAUUGACCAAUGGGCGCAAGCCUGAUGCAGCGACGCCGCGUGGGGGAUGACGGCCUUCGGGUUGUAAACUCAUUUCGCUAGGGACGAAGCUUUUUGUGACGGUACCUAGAUAAGAAGCACCGGCUAACUACGUG